rnacentral:rRNA from 1 species
ACGGAAGGCAGCAGUGGGGAAUAUUGGGCAAUGGGCGAAAGCCUGACCCAGCAACGCCGCGUGAGGGAAGAAGGUUUUCGGAUUGUAAACCUCUGUCCUCAGGGACGAUAAUGACGGUACCUGAGGAGGAAGCUCCGGCUAACUACGUGCCAGCAGCCGCGGUAAUACGUAGGGAGCGAGCGUUGUCCGGAAUUACUGGGUGUAAAGGGUGCGUAGGCGGGACGGCAAGUCAGAUGUGAAAUGUAUGGGCUCAACCCAUAACCUGCAUUUGAAACUGUUGUUCUUGAGUGAGGUAGAGGUAAGCGGAAUUCCUAGUGUAGCGGUGAAAUGCGUAGAUAUUAGGAGGAACAUCGGUGGCGAAGGCGGCUUACUGGGCCUUUACUGACGCUGAGGCACGAAAGCGUGGGGAGCAAACAGGAUUAGAUACCCUGGUA